rnacentral:rRNA from 1 species
GACGAACGCUGGCGGCAUGCCUAACACAUGCAAGUCGAACGAAGCCUUCGGGCUUAGUGGCGCACGGGUGCGUAACGCGUGGGAAUCUGCCCUUUGGUUCGGAAUAACAGUUGGAAACGACUGCUAAUACCGGAUGAUGACGAAAGUCCAAAGAUUUAUCGCCAGAGGAUGAGCCCGCGUAGGAUUAGCUAGUUGGUGUGGUAAAGGCGCACCAAGGCGACGAUCCUUAGCUGGCCUGAGAGGAUGAUCAGCCACACUGGGACUGAGACACGGCCCAGACUCCUACGGGAGGCAGCAGUGGGGAAUAUUGGACAAUGGGCGAAAGCCUGAUCCAGCAAGGCCGCGUGAGUGAUGAGGGCCCUAGGGUUGUAAAGCUCUUUUACCCGGGAUGAUAAUGACAGUACCGGGAGAAUAAGCCCCGGCUAACUCCGUGCCAGCAGCCGCCGUAA